AGAGAGAGACAUGCGCGCAUAUCAAUAAGCGGAGGAAAAGAAACUAACUAGGAUUCCCUCAGUAACGGCGAGUGAAGCGGGAAGAGCUCAAAUUUGAAAUCUUCAAGGUUCUACCUUGACGAAUUGUAGUUUAAAGAAGUGUUUUCUGUUGGAGUUUUGGUAAAAGUUCUUUGGAAUAGGACAUCAUAGAGGGUGAGAAUCCCGUAUUUGACCAUUAUUUCCAGCUUUGUGAUACACUUUCAAAGAGUCGGAUUGUUUGGGAAUGCAGUCCAAAAUGGGUGGUAAAUUUCAUCUAAAGCUAAAUAUUGGCGAGAGACCGAUAGCGAACAAGUACCGUGAGGGAAAGAUGAAAAGAACUUUGAAAAGAGAGUUAAACAGUACGUGAAAUUGUCAAAAGGGAAGCGUUUGACACCAGUGUUGUUUUCUCGAAAAUCAAUUAAAAAAGGCAGGAUUUUGUGUUGUAUUGACUUUAUCAGCUUUCUGCACUCUUUUCUUGUCUUUUUUAAUGCACUUUUCGUUUAACAAGUCAACAUCAAUUUCUUUUGUUGUAAAAGGGUCAUUGGAAGGUGGCUUUCUUUUCGGAGAAAGUGUUUAUAGCCUUUGGCCUCUGCAAUCGGAGAGAUUGAGGUCUGCAGCGUAGAUCCUUCGGGGUUAGAUACAUUUGUGCUAAGUUAUAGCCUUUCAUAGACAACUUGUUGACUAUGAUCAGUCAUGUAGCUUACUCUCUUAUGCUAUUUUACCUACGCUUAGGAUGUUGAUGUGAUACUGCGAGCA
rnacentral:rRNA from 1 species